GACGAACGCUGGCGGCGUGCUUAACACAUGCAAGUCGAACGGAAAGGCCCUGCUUUUGUGGGGUGCUCGAGUGGCGAACGGGUGAGUAACACGUGAGGAACCUGCCCUUGACUUUGGGAGAACUUCAGGAAACUGGGGCUAAUACCGGAUAGGAGCUCCUGCUGCAUGUUGGGGGUUGGAAAGUUUCGGCGGUGGGGGAUGGACUCGCGGCUUAUCAGCUUGUUUGUGGGGUAGUGGCUUACCAAGGCUUUGACGGGUAGCCGGCCUGAGAGGGUGACCGGCCACAUUGGGACUGAGAUACGGCCCAGAAUCCUACGGGAGGCAGCAGUGGGGAAUAUUGCACAAUGGGCGGAAGCCUGAUGCAGCAACGCCGCGUGCGGGAUGACGGCCUUCGGGUUGUAAACCGCUUUCGCCUGUGACGAAGCGUGAGUGACGGUAAUGGGUAAAGAAGCACCGGCUAACUACGUG
rnacentral:rRNA from 1 species